GGGGGCGACAAGGUUUCGACGGGGAUUGACAAACUAGUAAGUUGCAGGUCGAGUUGAAGGCACUCGUUAAACGACUUCACACUUAUAACUGCCAAUACAAACUUGGCUGCUAUCAACACCAAUCAGGUGGCGGUAGCAUUGGCUGCCUAAUAAAGGCGGCCCGUUUGUGCCGUUUAUGCCCGCGACGCGGUGCAAAUGCAAAACAGUGGGCUCGCCAAUUUUUCGUGUCUGUUGAAAAAUUUGGUUAAAACCUAGCAGGCUUAGUUUUCUGGUACCCGCCAUGGGGUGAACAAGAGAGCGAAACAACAUUCCACGGAUAAACCUGUAGAUGCUUCUAGCGCGCAUUCUCGGACCCGGGUUCGAUUCCCGGCGCCUCCACCC
rnacentral:tmRNA from 4 species